UACGGAAGGCAGCAGUGGGGAAUAUUGCACAAUGGGCGAAAGCCUGAUGCAGCUAUGCCGCGUGUAUGAAGAAGGCCUUAGGGUUGUAAAGUACUUUCAUCGGGGAGGAAAAAACAAAACUAAUAAUUUUAUUUCUUGACGUUACCCGAAAAAGAAGCACCGGCUAACUCCGUGCCAGCAGCCGCGGUAAUACGGAGGGUGCUAGCGUUAAUCAGAAUUACUGGGCGUAAAGAGCACGUAGGUGGUUUUUUUAAGUCAGAUGUGAAAUCCCUGGGCUUAACCUGGAACUGCAUUUUGAAACUGAAAUACUAGAGUAUCGUAGAGGGAGGUAGAAUUCUAGGUGUAGCGGUGAAAUGCGUAGAUAUCUGGAGGAAUACCUGUGGCGAAAGCGGCCUCCUAAACGAAUACUGACACUGAGGUGCGAAAGCGUGGGGAGCAAACAGGGAUUAGACACC
rnacentral:rRNA from 1 species